ACUCAUAAACCAGAAGAACAAUAAAACAAUAACUUACUAGAAUUCAGAAGUCGAAAUACUGAAGAAUCCUAGGAGCAAGCUUCGGUUUAGGAGAACUUGAUCCCGCAGGUACAAGCUUGGAGUAGACACCGACAGGCCGGGCUUCCUCCAAUCUACACCUCCACUCUAUCUCUCUCAAUCUAGUAGAAACUAGAAGAUCUAUUUCUACUUUGCAUUGGUUGCUAAGCCUAAAAAGAAAUAUUAAUUAGAGAAGAGGUUUUCCUUCGAGGGCACCCCUCAAUCUCUAUGAUAAUUUCUUCAUGUCUUCUCCAGGGGCUAGGGGGGUCUCCUUAUUUAGUCCUCCUCCUCAAUGCGUUUUUGGGUUGGUAGGCGAGGUGGUACUAUGUUUUCCUUGAUCCAAUAGGUCGGUGGAACAUCCCGUGCGAAGAGAGUCCUGAACGCAAUCCAGCAGGGGGCGGGCGCCCAGGUCACCAGGGCGGGCGCCCGGGGCCUGGCCCCUUUUGGCCUCUGUUUUCUUCCCGUGGCUUCUGGAGUCUUCUAGAUGGUAGAAAAUCGUGCGGUGCAUUGAUAUCUCUAUGUAAUCCCGACAUGUGGGCCUUUCUUUCUUAUUUCCUGAUAACCCCCUGCAGAAAUAGAUAAACAACAAAACUCGUGGAAUUCUGUCAGAUCAAACCCUAAUUCUAGGUGUUGGUUGCAUAUUGGUCCUUUCUCUUGUUUAUUUGAUAAUUAAAAUUGAUACUUAAGAACCGUCAACAAAUACCCCCAUACUUAGGCUUUUACUCGUCCUCGAGAAAAGGAUGGUUAAGAAAAAUAACUGGGGUAAACAUUUAAAAUAUUCUUUAUAUUUGCAGGGUAUGAAAAUCCCACUGUGUACUAUAGUCAGGGAAGUAUAUGGUUAAGAGUAAAGAUUCUUUCUUCUCAAUCUUGUCACUUGGAGUUUUUGUAUAUUUUUGAAAGAAAGUUAGCAUACCAUUUUAUCCUCAUAGGUUCUUCUCAGAUCACUCAUUAUUGUUUAUAUAUCUCACUGAGGCUGUUUUAAUUUGCAAAAAUUCUAAAGCAUACUUACUUUGCAUUUAUUGCCUGAUCAAAACGGGAUCCGAGGAGGGGAAUGUCAUACUCUUAGAUCAAAGACUUUGGACAUUAAAAUCUUUGUCAACUCUUGCUGGCAUAUUGCUUAUUAGAGGGACUAUGGGCUAUCAUUUUCUCUUUUUUUCUCAUUUUUUUUAAGUGGGUACCGAGGUAUCCCUAAUUCUACUGCCGGACACUUGUCCAUUUUUUCUGCGAGGUUGUCGAGCACUUGUUCCUUUUUAUUUCCUCGAAUUAUCUCUAUUUUUGCAUAGCCCAUGCCUCUAAUGCAAUAAUACUUUGGAAGAUUGAAUCUUUCUGAAUAAAUGUCUUAGGAGUAUGAUAAAUCUCUCAACAAGGGUCUAACUCAUUUUGAACAAACUCAAUACAGAGUAGAUAGCUUUUAUAAUCAUAAUUAAUAUUUUCAGUUUUAUCAGGCAUAUAAAACACUGAGGAUGGUAGCUAGAAUUUUGAAUAUUUUGAAAUAAAUUCUCCAAGUAGCAAUGAUAUCAAGAAUAAGAAACUCAUAUUCUACCAUCACAUAUUCCAUAUUGACUUAAGUAACACAGGGUUUUAAAAUGAUUUUAUAAUAAUUGCAAGUUUUCAGGAAAUAUCACAGAUUGAGAUUAAUCAUGAUUAGAAAAAUUUUAAUCUUUUUAUUUUAUCAUGUCAGAAACAGUAUUCUGCAUAAUCCAAAAUAUAUGUAUGUGUAAAGUAAAGUGUGCAGAGUGUGUACCUGAAUCGUGGAGUGGUGUAGUCGGAGUGUGUUUAGCAUGUCGAGGGAUCUCCCCCAUACUUGUUUUCUGCUUUCUUGCACAAAAAUAAAAUAGAGACACACAAGACAUAAUAAUAAUAAUACUCUUUAUUAAUCUUGAGACAUUUAUUACAAAAGACUAGUAGCAAACUGACGAUAGUAGCAAACUGAUGAUAAUAGUAAACCUAAACCGAGUUUAAAGAUAAAUGACUAAGAUGCAUUGCCUCAAGGUCUAAUCUAGAUAACUUAGCGGCGCUCUAAUUCCUUAAUCUUCUUGUUGGCACUGGCAAGAUCCUGCCUAAGGUCGAGUAUAAUGGUGUUGUGGUUAGAGAGUGUUGGGUAUUUUAAACGCAAACAGAAAAAUCCGCAAGCGCACGGAUACCGAUGUAGCCUUUACCCGGGAGUAUUCCAGAGUAUCGAUUUUCCACAGGGAACGUGAGUGUACUAAUUAAGAUCCAAGAUCGCCCAAGGAUAACUAUAUAAUUAUUUUUGGUGGGAAGAGAGAAAGUUUCCUGAGAGUUCUCUAGUUGAUCUAAGAAUCAAGAAUUACUUCAAGAUUAUCUAUUUCGGGACAUCAGAACACUAACCACAGAAAGAGAUGAGAAGGGGGCUAGGAAGCUCCGACUACGGUCCUACAAACACCGAUCCGAACGAGGUGGAAUACAUCGACCAUUAGGGCUGUCACUACCCUAGGGCUACCACAACAAUCCGCAGGAUUGGGUGCAAUUCCAGGUAAUUGCAAGACUAAACACCACGUCUAAUCUAUUAAUUACUACUCUAAGGUUUCAAAGAUUAGAGCACUUGAUGCAAGCGG
rnacentral:lncRNA from 1 species